rnacentral:rRNA from 1 species
UACAGAGGGGGCAAGCGUUGUUCGGAAUUACUGGGCGUAAAGGGCGCGUAGGCGGCCUGUUAAGUCGAACGUGAAAUCCCCGGGCUCAACCCGGGAACUGCGUCCGAUACUGGCAGGCUUGAAUCCGGGAGAGGGAUGCGGAAUUCCAGGUGUAGCGGUGAAAUGCGUAGAUAUCUGGAGGAACACCGGUGGCGAAGGCGGCAUCCUGGACCAACACUGACACUGAGGAGCGAAGGCGUGGGGAGCGAACGGG